CACUAAUUGAUGGAUGCUGUUCAAACUGUUUAUUUAAUGAGGUUGUUGUAAUAACACUUCUUGGGAGAGAUGGUCAUGGGUCAUCUUCACCUAAAAAUAUGUUUGCCUACUGUUGAUAAUCUAUUCCUUUUGGCACAAUAUACCUGUGCAGAGCUAUUACUGAGUAUUAUGAUACCUUUUGUAACAUUAUUAGCAGUGUAUAACUCCCCUGAUAUUAUUUUUUCCCCUAGGACAAGUCUUCCCUCACUCCCCAUCCACCCCCAUGAAACAACACCUCUGAUAAGGGCGUCUAUGAGAGGAGACGGAGUGAUUCCAACGGCACUUGACACCCAGCGGGGCAAGGUGGUCACUGACCUGGAUGACUUUCAAGCAAAAGGUACAGCACCUUAAGCAAAGCAAACAGUGUUUGGUGUUUGGUUCAUAAUAAGUCAACAUCUUCAAGCAUGAAAUGGACCACGUUUGUUUCCCCAACAAAAGCCAUGCAGUGAGAAGGUGUCUGCAUUUUACAGCCUAUAGGCCUUGCGCAUAUUCCGCAAGAAAUGUUUGAAUUACAGUACCCCAGAAACAGGUUAUCUAUCCACCAUCUCAGUGAAUAACGAACAGGACGGAUCAUAAUAAAAAUGAACAAUUGUCCCCAAAAAACAACUUUACCAAUGUUGGCACUUUCAAAUGUAAUGGUCUGAGGGACAUCAAGUAAAAUAAAGACAGUUGACAAAUACAUAAACAAUGAGAUUGUUUGGAAUAGGUGGACAUUUCUCCUGCUUUAAUCUCCAUAUGUGACAAGAACUUAAGUGUAAACUUACCAUAUUUUCACCUGCUGAAACCCUCCAAAAAGAUGAAAGAAAGUAAAGGUUUUGACUUGAGUGGGAAAUUGGGGGGGCUGUUUUUUGGGGUAAAGGGGUAAAGAUCACCCCUGCAGAGGGUAACACCUGAGAUAUGUGUUAUUACCCACAAGGGAAGCACUCUCAGGGCUCAGUGACAAGCACUUCACACUCUACAGCGCUCAAAGGCCUCUGCUUGCAGUUGACAGCACACACCAGUGGUGAAGAAUAGCCCCCGCCCGAUGCUUAUCUAUCCACCCAGUUCCUCCACCCGCCUGUAGUAGUGGGCCUCCCACAGCUGCGUGGGGCUUUUUGUGUGAGUGUGUGUGUGUGACUGCGUCAGUGAAUAUGUGUGUUUGUGAGUGCGUGUCAGACUGGAUCCAAAAGCGCUGAUCCUAGUGGGUUUUCAACACACACCCGUGGGAAUAGAGCUCUCAAGGUCUGUAUCCCGAGGCGUUUUCCAUUUGACCUCUAAUCCCCCAUAUCUAACAUGGCUGUGACUGUAGUAGCUAUGUGUCACUGGUUCACACAGUCAUUGUUUAUCAAACAUUGGAUUUACUAUACCUCUCGCUACAAUUUUAGAUAUGUUUUGUAAGGACAAACUGAGAAUGCUAUUGUGUGCAUAAGAAGUGAUGUUUUGGGAUAGAUUUCAAUUUCUGACCUCAGAAACAUUUAUUCCUGAAUAUCUGUAUUUAAUUUAGCUAGGCAAGUCAGUUGAACAAAUUCACAAUUACGUCCUACCCCGGACGACACCGGGCCAAUUGUGCGUCCCCCUAUGUGACUCCCAAUCAAUCCCAGCCAGAUGUAAUUCAGCCUAGAUUCGAACCAGGGACUGAAGUGUCUGUCACCUCUUGCACUGAGAUGCAGUGCCUUAGACCGCUGUGCCACUCGGGAGAUACUUCAAUGGUGUCUCCUAGUUCAGCUCUGAAUCUGUAAAUUACCCCUAAACUAGAUGUAAUCGUUUUCAAUUAAAAUGGUCAAAAAUAGCUUCUUAGCAAAGAGCAAUUUCUCAAGCAUGAACUUAGCUAGGACUCUCUGGAAGUGGUGUGGGUGGGGAGAGGAAAACUGAGAACUAGCUGUUAAUGGCAGAGAGGUUUGGAACUCUUUUUUUAUUGGUCUAUUAACUAAUUUAACACCUGGUGAUGUCACCAGGCAGGCCAAAACUCCAUCCCACCAAAACAGGCUGAAACUUCAGGCAGUCUUUUCAAACACCUCAUACACUAAAAAUGCAUUAUCAUAAUUUAUGCAAUUUCAC
rnacentral:lncRNA from 1 species